GAUGAACGCUAGCGGCAGGCUUAAUACAUGCAAGUCGAGCGGUAGGUGGCUUCGGCCAUUGAGAGCGGCGCACGGGUGAGUAACGCGUACAUGACCUGCCUGUCAGAAGGGGGAUAGCCCUGGGAAACUGGGAUUAAUACCCUAUGGUAUUGAUAUUAUGAAUGAUAUCAAUUAAAGUUGAGGCGCUGACAGAUGGAUGUGCGUCUGAUUAGCUAGUUGGUAGGGUAACGGCCUACCAAGGCGACGAUCAGUAGGGGGCGUGAGAGCGUGGUCCCCCACACGGGUACUGAGACACGGACCCGACUCCUACGGGAGGCAGCAGUAGGAAUAUUGGUCAAUGCCCGCAAGGGUGAACCAGGCCAUUCCGCGUGGAGGA
rnacentral:rRNA from 1 species